UACAGCCAUUAUUCAGUCGUAUUUGUGGAGAAAGCGAACGACAAUCCAUCGUUUGUUUACAUCGGAAGCCAUUUUGCCGCAAUGCAUGACGGAGCCAAAGACUUCUUUUUUGGAGUUCACGCCGUUUUUGGAGUUCGUCUAGACUGUUUUUGGAGGAUCGAGAAGGACGAAGAAGAAGGUGUAAGCAGCUAGUAAAUGUGAAAAGUUAAGAUGGUUUCACCACCCAGUGUCUUUAAGACUGUGAUAAAUGCAAUGGCCAACGAUGAAGGAUUAGUGUACGAAUAUUUUUGUUAACUUUUUACGGUAAAUAGUUGUAAUAUUUGGCAACAACAAAUCUUCACUAUCGGAGGCAACUUUUGUUCUGACGCCAUUUUGAAAAGUUGGAUACCUAAGUUUUAAAUUGUUAAGUGUAUAUAUUGCAGAGAGAAAGAGAGAGAGAGAGAGAAAUUUAAGACAGUGAUACAGCAUAACUUAGAUUAUGGAGGCCCCAAAGGCACCGUGCAUGUGCAUGCUGUAUGUUGUAAAAUGGCAACGUUUCGCCUUUUAUCAUGUUUAUUAAAACGUAUGCUCCAUAUGUAUGUUCUCUCUCUAUAUAUAAAUGAAUACUUUUCGGAAUUAAAAAAAAAUAUUUUUAACCCCGCUCAAAUUAUCCGGAUGAUAAUAGUUACACCGAGCAUGGUUUCGUAGUUAAAUUCAGACUGUAGAACAUCCGGUUUGAAUACAUGUGUUUUCUGACUUUUCGGAUAGCCAACUCUUGUUUUUUUGGAACUUACGACUUAUGGCAAGAGAGAAGAAAACUGUGUGACUUUAAAAGAAAACUAGUGAGAUAAAAUCAUAGAAAAUGUAUGAUGAUUCAGGAUGUGGUCAUUUGUGACAUUAAAACAGGAAUUGUCAUCACCAAUAGACGAAUUUCACAUUCCUAAGAGUUUUCUCCAAUUGUCGGUGUAUCGCUCAUUUUUCCCACUUUGUCCUUU